rnacentral:snoRNA from 1 species
UAGGUCAAGCAGGAGCCUAAAGAAAAGUCUUUUUAUGGUCUGUUGGCCAUUUCAGAACUUUGGAAAUGUAAUGGUCAAUUAAUUAGAAAGAAACAUUU